rnacentral:rRNA from 1 species
UUCCGGGGGGCUUACCAUGCAAGUCGAGGGGCAGCACUAUGUAGCAAUACGUUGGUGGCGACCGGCGCACGGGUGAGUAACGCGUAUGCAACCUACCCUGUACAGGGGGAUAACCCGGAGAAAUUCGGACUAAUACCGCAUAAAGAUAUUACUGGGCAUCCAGUACUAUUUAAAGCUUCGGUGGUACGGGAUGGGCAUGCGUAACAUUAGCUAGUUGGGAGGGUAACGGCCUACCAAGGCAACGAUGUUUAGGGGUCCUGAGAGGGUGAUCCCCCACACUGGUACUGAGACACGGACCAGACUCCUACGGGAGGCAGCAGUGAGGAAUAUUGGUCAAUGGGCGGAAGCCUGAACCAGCCAUCCCGCGUGCAGGAAGAAGGCGCUAUGCGUUGUAAACUGCUUUUCCAGGGGGCGAACGUUCCGUACGCGUACGGGAGUGACGGUACCUUGGGAAUGAGCAUCGGCUAACUCCGUGCCAGCAGCCGCGGUAAUACGGAGGAUGCGAGCGUUAUCCGGAUUUAUUGGGUUUAAAGGGUGCGUAGGCGGAUUAAUAAGUCAGUGGUGAAAACCUGCAGCUUAACUGUGGAACUGCCGUUGAUACUGUUAGUCUUGAGUAUGGUCAAGGUAGGCGGAAUGUGUAAUGUAGCGGUGAAAUGCUUAGAUAUUACACAGAACACCGAUUGCGAAGGCAGCUUACUGGGCCACAACUGACGCUGAUGCACGAAAGCGUGGGGAUCGAACAGGAUUAGAUACCCUGGUAGUCCACGCCGUAAACGAUGAUCACUCGCUGUUAGCGAUAUACAGUUAGUGGCUAAGCAAAAGCAUUAAGUGAUCCACCUGGGGAGUACGGCCGCAAGGCUGAAACUCAAAGGAAUUGACGG